UACGUAGGGUGCGAGCGUUAAUCGGAAUUACUGGGCGUAAAGCGUGCGCAGGCGGUUCGUUGUGUCGGCGGUGAAAGCCCCGGGCUCAACCUGGGAAUGGCCGUUGAAACUGGCGAACUGGAGUGUGGCAGAGGGGGGUGGAAUUCCGCGUGUAGCAGUGAAACGCGUAGAGAUGCGGAGGAACACCGAUGGCGAAGGCAGCCCCCUGGGCUAACACUGACGCUCAGGCACGAAAGCGUGGGGAGCAAACAGG
rnacentral:rRNA from 1 species